rnacentral:lncRNA from 1 species
AAUCAUCUUGAUAGAUAGAAACUUCACUUGAAUGUCUUUUGACAUAAGAUGUUGUCAUCAAAACAACCAAUAUCAUUUAAUGGAUAAAAACAAUUAUACAUCCACAACACAUAGAACCACAUCAAAUACAUCAAUUCGACGGAUCUCCUUUAUUUUGUACUCUAAAAAAUAUUGUCAUGUGAUUUGGUUGCCAUGCAGCAUUUGGAAGAAAAGAAAUAACAUAUUGUUUAAAACAAAACAAAAGUGUAUUUGAUUGAACAAAUAUUUGAAAAGUUAAAAUAGUUAUUUGAGGUGAUUAAAAAAUUACAAAAAUUAUAUUUUAUAUGAAUUUAUGGAGGAUUUAUCUAGCAACGUGUUUAAGUUUUGAUAUAUUCUUUUAUGUAUUUUUAUUUUAUUGGUUCAAUUAUUUUGAUUUUAAUGUUUUGUGAAUAGUUGUAUAGACUCUUAGUCACGUCUUUGUGAGUAAGUGAUUAUUAUUUAUUUUAUUUUAUUUAUUUAAGAAAAUAUAUUAAUUAUUCAAUAAACUAUUAAUUAUUCAAUAAUUAUAUAAGUUGUUAAGUAAAACUAAAAAAAAAAAAUUUUUUAUAUUAAAAAAUGAAGGAAAUAAAUAUUUUUAUAUUUGAUAAUUCAAUCGAGUAAAAUUAUCAUAUUUAAAAGUGAAUUGAUAAAAAACUAUCUAAUUUUCCUUUUGUUGUAAAUUAUCUCUUUUACUAAUUUUAAUUUUCACCAUCCAAAUAGAAAAUAAAAUAAUCCAAACAAUCAACAUUAUAUUAUAUAUCAUCAAUCUACACUCAAUUAGUUCUUAGCAAGCUCUACCGAAUUCAACUUAUGGGUUUUCUUCAUAGUUGGAAAAAAUAUUGGAAAUAAUAUAAGCAUACUAAUUGAAGAAGAUUGACACGUGUUGGGAGGAGUGUGUAUAGGUGUCAGCAGCGGGAUGAGGUCAGGUAUCAAUUUUCCUUUUCCAUUAUAUCAAAGUUCAUACACAAUAUGUAUACGUUUUCCAUUUCAACAACUCCACUGAACAAGAAACUAGUAAAACAUGGAAGGCGAUGAAGUGGUGAAGAUGAUAGUUCCAUCAUCACAGCUCACCAAUGUUGAUGUGUCCGGCGACGGCGACGGCGAGAAACAAUACUCUUUUCCUGAAGAGAUAGAAACCUUCUACGUCAAACUCACCCACUUGUUAAACUCCUCUGGACUCACUCUCAUGUCAGUGUUUUUCGGAUGGAUAUUCUUGCCAUUUUCUUUACUUCUCUCUUUCGGUUGCGUAAAAAUUGCAUGCAUGCAUCAAACUCAUGUAUUUUUAUGUUUAGUAUAAAAAUUACUCACCUAUAUUCCAAUUCUACCUGACAGUAUCAAUGUCAGAGAAACUUCCUUAAACUUGUUCGAGUUUUACUUGGAGGUCGUUAAAAGAGGAGGUUAUAAACAGGUACUUGUCAUCAGGUUUUCGGCGAUUUCGGUCGGUACUGAUAUCGCGAUACUAAUUGCGGUUUUUGUCGCAGCCAUUUUUGGGGUCGUGAACUGUUUUUUAAAACCCUUCACGUGACUCUAUUUAUUCAUAUUUCAUUUCUCAUAAAUGCACGAUUCAUUUGUCAAUCUAAAUAUGAAUUAUUUUUCUUAGAUAUUCAAAUUGUAUGGACUGAUUCUCUUGAGUGUUUCCAGGUUUGUAAACAAAAGGAAUGGGGUGAAGUUGUUUCAGCUCUAAAACUGGAAGGAAACAAUGCAAAGUUACCAUCUCAAAUUAAAAAACUCUAUGCAAAUCUUCUAUACGAAUUUGAGAAAAUCUACUUCUACAGGUUUCGAGCAACUCAAACUGCAACUCACACCACCAAAGGUUAAUCUAAGACUAAUUUCAGCUUUUUUUACUUGUUUCAUUUUGGUAUUAUCUUGAGCUAUUUAAACUUAAUUCAUUGAUUUAAUGAAAAUGAAUGCACUUAAGUGAAUUAGUAGCUAGCUAAUUAUAGUUGAUUCAAAAUUACUAGCAUUACCCGAAAGGCUUCUACAAGCACCCUCGAAUGACAAAGAAAAGAAGAAGCCACGAGGUGUUCCGAGGGGAGCAAAUGGAUAUCAAAUAUUCCUCAAACACGAAUGUGCCCGAUUAAAAGCUUGUCGUCAGGACAUCAAUGGCAAAGCGAUCCUGCCCAUGGCUGUCGAAGGAUGGAAGAAUUUGUCAGAGAUUGAUAAACAGGUACAAAAGAUGAAAUUGACAUAACAUAGUCGAAAGAUUAUAUGUUUUUUCUUCGAAUUUUCCAGUUCUGAAUACUUUUUCAUGUAGCCAUAUGUGGAGGAAAGCAAGAAGAUAAAGGAAGCAAUGAUCAUUGACAAUAAUAUGUUGAAUAAACUUAAAUGCUAGAGUUAGUGGGGUUUUAAUAAUAAGUUAAUGGAGAGUUUUGGAAGGUUAAGAGACAAUGGGAAAAUUAAGAGUAUUUACUAUUUAUUUUAAUUAGUAGAAUAGCUAAAGUUUUCUGUAUGUAUAAAAGUCCAAAAUUGCAUUCUAAUAAAAUACAGAAGUUUGCAAACAAAAUCGAUUCUUCUGACAAAUUGGUAUCAGAGCUAAUGGCAAAUAUGAUGAAUCAAAUGCCGUUACCACGGCUAACGAAGUUGAAUUAUGAAAACUGGAGUAUCCAGAUGAAAGCUCUUCUCGGAUCUCUAGACGCGUGGGAGGUGACCAAAGAUGGGUUUGAAGAACCAACAGAUACUGAGGGAUAUACGUCAGCUCAAAAUAAGGCGUUGAAAGAGACGCGAUCGAAGGAUAAAACGGCACUUUACAUGCUGUUUAGGGCUGUUGAUGAAUCAGGCUUCGAAAAGAUUGCCGGUUCGACUACGUCGAAAGAAGCGUGGGACACACUGGAGAAAGUGUUCAAAGGAGCAGAUCGAGUAAAGCAAGUUCGACUCCAAACACUUCGUGGCGAAUUGGAGAGGAUGCAGAUGAAGGAGUCAGAAAAUGUAUCUGACUACAUCACGCGUGUACAAAAAGUGGUGAACCAACUCAGCAGAAAUGGCGAAACAGUAACUGAUGCACGAGUUGUCGAAAAGAUUUUGAGAUCUUUAACAGAUAAGUUUGAGAAUAUUGUGUGUGCAAUAGAAGAGUCGAAGGACCUUUCGACGCUCGCAGUCGAAGAGCUCGCAGGUUCCCUCGAAGCACACGAACAACGUAAGAUGAAAAAGAAGGAAGAAGGAGCAGAGGACGCAAAUCAAACCAAGGAGCAAAUCAAAGACGAAAAGGUACUUUUUCUCAAAAUUUUCGAGGAAGAGGACGUGGUCGUGGAGGACGUGACAAUGGUCGAAGUGGUAGAGGCAGCAACUUCGAGAGAGGACAGUCGAACCAGCAAAAUUGGCAUGGCAGAGGACGUGGUCAAAGAGGUGGUAGGUCGAACCAUUCCAACUUUGAAUGCUACAAGUGUGGCAAGUAUGGUCAUUGUGCGAAGGAUUGUAACUCAUUCAAAUGCUAUAACUGUGAUAAAGUGGGACAUCUUGCAAAAGAUUGUCGAAUCGAAAAGAAGGUAGAAGAAAUAACCAAUCUAACUUUGGAAGCUGAAGCAAAUGAAGGUUUUCUCUUGAUGGCUCAAAGUGAGAUCAACUCAAAUGACAAUGUUUGGUAUCUUGACUCAGGAGCAAGUAACCAUAUGUGUGGUCACAAACACUUGUUUAAAGAAAUGAGAAAGAUUGAAGAUGGAAAUGUGUCUUUCGGAGAUGCAUCGAAAGUGAAGGUCGAAGGCAAAGGAACGAUUCGUUACCUGCAGAAGGAUGGGUUGAUUGGAUCAAUUCAAGAUGUUUAUUAUGUACCAAAUCUUAAAACCAACAUCUUUAGUUUGGGACAACUUACAGAAAAAGGUUAUUCGAUACUUAUGAAAGAACGGAUACUGCAUUUGAAGGACAAGCUGGGACAUCUGAUUGCUCGUGUCGAAAUGGAGAAAAAUAGAAUGUACAAACUGAAUCUGAUAAACGUUCGAGAAAGAUGUUUACAAGUAAGCGUCGAAGACAAAGCGUCACUAUGGCAUCUACGCUUUGGUCAUCUACAUCAUGCUGGUUUAAAAAGGUUGGCGAAAAAGAACAUGGUGCACGGACUACCAGAUAUGGAUUAUGAAGGAAAGUUCUGUGAAGAAUGUGUGCUUAGCAAAUAAACAAGAACUUCAUUUCAAAAGAAGGCAGAAUAUCAAGCUAAGCAUAUCCUUGAUUUGAUUCACACCGACAUAUGUAGGCCAAUCACGCCAGAAUCUUUCAGUAGCAAAAGGCACUUUAUUUCCUUUAUCGACGAUUACUCACGAAAGACAUGGGUUUAUUUCUUGAAAGAAAAGUCUGAAGCAUUCAAGGUGUUCAAAAGGUUCAAGGUAAUGGUGGAGAAGGAAACCGACAGACACAUUAAAGCAGUUCGAUCUGAUAGAGGUGGUGAGUAUACUUCGACAGCUUUUAUGAAGUAUUGUGAAGAGCAGGGUAUAAGGAGAUUUCUAACUGCAGCAUACUCACCUCAACAAAAUGGGGUGGCUGAAAGGAAGAAUCGAACAAUCCUUGACAUGGUUCGUUCAAUGCUUAAAAGCAAGAACAUGCCAAAGGAAUUUUGGGCAGAAGCUGUAAAAUGUGCCAUUUAUGUUCAGAAUCGAUGUCCACAUUCAAAAUUAGAAGAUCAAACACCACAAGAAGCGUGGAGCGGACAGAAGCCAACAGUUUCUCAUCUCAAAGUAUUUGGAAGUGUGGCUUAUGCACACGUACCAGAUCAACGAAGAACGAAACUUGAAGACAAAAGUCAGAAAUACAUACUCAUUGGGUAUGAUGAGAAAACAAAAGGGUACAAGCUAUUUGAUCCCAUAAGAAAGAAGGUGAUAGUGAGUAGAGACGUUCAAAUAAACGAAGCAAGUAAGUGGGACUGGAACAGUUCGACAGAAGCUGUUGUCGAAGUUGAAGAAUCAUCUGUCGCUGUACCAUCAAAUAUUUCGACAAAACUUGAAGAUUCUGACAAUGAAGAUGAACCUACACAACCCAGAAUGCGAAGUUUACAAGAUCUGUAUGAUUCGACAAGUGAAGUGCACCUUGUAUGUCUCUUAGCAGAUGCUGAAAACAUCAGUUUUGAAGAAGCAGUACGAGACAAGAAGUGGAAAAGUGCCAUGGACGAAGAGAUGGGGGCGAUUAACCACAAUAACACUUGGGAGCUAGUUGAAUUGCCAAAAGAUAGUCAACCCAUUGGUGUAAAGUGGGUAUUCAAGAAAAAGAUGAACGCUCAAGGAGAAAUAAAACGAUACAAAGCGAGACUUGUUGCGAAGGGAUACAAACAGAAAGCAGGAGUUGAUUAUGACGAAGUAUUUGCACCUGUUGCAAGAAUGGAGACAAUUCGAUUACUCAUAUCUCAAGCUGCUCAAUUCAAAUGGCCAAUAUUUCAAAUGGAUGUCAAAACAACUUUUCUGAAUGGUGUACUAGAAGAAGAAGUCUAUGUCGAACAACCACUCGGGUACAUGAAAGCUGGAGAAGAGAAGAAGGUACUGAAAUUGAAGAAAGCGCUAUAUGGGCUGAAGCAAGCACCGCGGGCAUGGAACACACGUAUCGACACAUAUUUCAAGGAGAACGGGUUCGAGCAAUGUCCGUACGAACAUGCCCUCUAUGUGAAGAAAAAUGGAAGGAAUGUAUUACUUGUUGCUCUCUAUGUUGAUGAUCUUAUUUUUCUGGGCAGUAAUGAUGAGAUGAUAGAAGAAUUCAAAAGCACAAUGACACGUGAAUUCGAGAUGACAGAUUUAGGCCUGAUGAGAUUCUUUCUUGGUCUGGAAGUUCGACAAGAAGAAACAGGAAUCUUCAUCUCACAAGAAAAAUAUGCAAAAGAAAUCUUGAAAAGAUAUAAGAUGGAAAGCUGUAAUCCGGCUUCGACGCCAAUGGAACCAGGAACAAAAUUGUCGAAAUUUGAUGGAGGAGAACGUGUCGAAGCAGGAAAAUAUCGAAGUUUGGUAGGAAGUCUUCGCUAUCUCACAUGUACAAGACCAGAUAUCUCAUUGAGUGUAGGCAUUGUAAGUCGAUUCAUGGAGGAGCCAGUUUACACACAUUGGAAGGCAUUGAAGCGAAUUCUGAGGUACAUCCAAGGAACAGUGUCACUUGGGAUGUUUUAUUCGAAUUCAGAGAAAUACAAGUUGGUUGGUUACUCUGACAGUGAUUGGUGCGGAGACAUAGAUGAUCGAAAAAGCACUUCUGGAUAUGUGUUUUUCAUGGGAAAUACUGCAUUUACUUGGCUUUCUAAAAAGCAGCCAAUAGUAACACUUUCGACAUGUGAAGCAGAAUAUGUAGCAGCAUCCUGGUGUGUUUGUCAUGCAAUAUGGCUCAGAAGAUUGAUGAGUAAAAUGGAGAUAGAACAGAAAGAUGCUACAAUAAUACAAGUUGACAACAGGUCAGCAAUUGAGUUAGCAAAGAAUCCAGUAAAUCAUGAAAGGAGCAAACACAUUGACGUUCGUUUUCACUUUAUUCGAGAACACGUGAAGGAAGGAAGUGUCGAAUUGAAGCAUGUAGCAAGUAAGGACCAAGCAGCAGAUAUUUUCACAAAACCACUAUCAAAGGAAAUUUUCGACAGAGGCAAGAAGUUGAUAGGGAUGAUGAAUAGAAGAAAUAUUUAAGUUUACAGAGGAGUUUUGUUGAAUAAACUUAAAUGCUAGAGUUAGUGGGGUUUUAAUAAUAAGUUAAUGGAGAGUUUUGGAAGGUUAAGAGACAAUGGGAAAAUUAAGAGUAUUUACUAUUUAUUUUAAUUAGUAGAAUAGCUAAAGUUUUCUGUAUGUAUAAAAGUCCAAAAUUGCAUUCUAAUAAAAUACAGAAGUUUGCAAACAAAAUCGAUUCUUCUGACAUAAUAAACAUAAAGGGAAAGAAAAGAUACCUGGUAUUUGUGGUGACUACUACUACUGUGUAACUUCACAACCUCAAGGAAGUUUCUCUUUUGCUAACAGUGCAGCAUUGGACUUGGCUUUUAAAAUUACAGAAAAAACAACCAUGGAUCCCUUCUUCCUAUGUGAUUUGGAUGCAUAUCGUUCGGGAGAUUUGCUAACUCUGAUAGAAAAUGGAGAACCUAAGUAACUAUACUAGUUAUUGGGCAAGUAUUUUUUGUUUUGAGGCAAUGUCAUUGCCUAUGCUUCUAAUGCUAAGCUGUUGUGUAUUUAUGGUUUUGAAAUAGCAGCAACCAAUGUUUGCACUAGUGAAGUAGGUAUGUAUAUAAACCAAGUGGAAUUGAUAUGAGGCAAAGUAAAUAUUAAUUCAAUCAAAUAUAAUUUUGAUUUAUCUUGUAAAUUUUAAGAGCAUCAUGGUUAGUAUUCAAGAUUUUAACAUGGUAUCAACUGAGGCUUGUAUCGAUUCUAUAGAAUUGUCCAACACCAUCGAUUUGGUGCUCGUCAAACAUCAUCGAUUUGGUGCUCACAACUGGGCCUCCUACUGGGCCACCGGACGUGAUGUCGCUUACUCGGGCUUCAUUCCCUUCUCACUCAUCAUUUUCAUCCAUUUUUGAGAAGUUUGAUGCUGGAAAUUAUCUUCUCUUGUGUCACCAUGGAGAAGGGAAUCAUGGAUGCGUCUGCGAUAGAAUAUACAUUUCGUAUAUACAUUUCAUUCUUGUUUCUUUUCUAUUAAUAUACAAUUCAUUAUUGUCUUGAAGUAUAGCAGUGUUUUCAAAUAGCAAUUCUAUAAUCAGCUAUGCUAUCUUGACACUAAAAUCAGCUACACCGUAUAUACACCGUAGCCAUGAUAAAUCAUUUUCAUUGUGAC